CUAAGACUUCCCUUCUACGCCUAUUAAUAAAGGUGGGGGUAUUACCUAUAUUCAUGGUCAGAAGGUCCUUAGAAUUAAAGUAUUCGAACAGGGCUAAUCCCCUAGGAUUACAGUCUGAGCUUCCCCAGGCCAUAUGAUUGGAAUUAGCGUCCGUUCCAAUGAUUAAUUGCAUACCUGUUUUUCCUGCGUACUCCGUUAUCUUCCUCAGCUCUUCCGUGGGGGGCGGAGAUGGGGAGACGAAGGGCAGGUAGAGUGCCACCAAAAGCAGUGGUUGGUCGGUUACUUUAACCACAGUGAUGUCCUCCGUCGACAAGUCUGCUAAAAGAGAGUACCAAAGGUACCUGGAUUAGGGCAAUGUCAGCCUUACCUUUUUCUAGUCUGUCGACCAGUAGUGCGUUUCUGUAACUUUUCGUUAUAAUAUCGAAAGAAAUAUCACUUUUGCGUAACGAAAGGUUUAUAACGAACAAUUUUUUUGAAGUGUUUCUGUAACUCAGAAAAGUCACCUUUCGUUAUGGUUGUGGUGAGUCGUUAUCAAUGUUAUCGAAAAUGUGCUAUAACUAAAAUGAAUGCAUAAACGUCUGUCAAUGUACACGAAUAUAUUUGUUUUGUUUACUGCAAAAAAGUUUUGUUUACUCUUAUUUUUUUAUUCUGAAUCAAAUUAUGAUAGCUGCUGCAUUAUUUGCCUUAUUGGAGGACCAACGGAAUAUGUUACGCGUUCAUCGGCGACAUCUGAGGGAUACAACUGACCCAUUUCAUUUGCCGGAAGAUCGCUUUGAAGAGCUAUUCCGUUUUAAAAAAGAUCCCGCAAUAGCCUUGUUACAAGAGCUAAGUCCUCAUAUGAAAAGUGGCGAAAGGCGUACGUUUGUCCCUAAAUCAUUAAGAAUGAGUGCAGCACUUCAUUACUAUGCGACAGGAUCAUAUUUGAGAGACGUUGGCCAAGAUUUUGUGUGCUCAUUAAGCAAGACAGUUGUGUGUCGUGCAGUAAAAGAAGUCACAAACAUCAUUGAAGGAAAAUUAAUGUGUAAAUACAUUAAAUUUCCAACAUCUUUAGAGGAACAAAACAAAAUAAAACAAACGUUUGUGAUCAUCGACUUCUGUUCACCGCUGUCAACGCGAUAUAUCCCGUGUCUUGUCACGAUUCUGGUCUUUGGUCCACAUCUCCAACACGUAUGCACCUCAUAAGUACAUAUAACAUACAAAUUGAUUCGUGGUUGUUAGGUGACCAAGGAUAGCCAUUGGAGCCAUGGGUGUUAAUGCCAGUCGCUGAAUCUGCAAAUGAAAGGGAAGUGCGUUACAAUAAAUUGCACGCCAAAGUACGCAAUACCAUUGAGAGAGCCUUUGGUGUAUUGAAGUCACGAUUCCGAUGCCUCUCAAAACACCGCAUUCUUCAUUACAGCCCUGAAAAAGCGGCUAUGGUUAUUUCCGCGUUUACAAUUCUUCAGAAGUUUUACUGAAGCAUGGUGUGGCUGCAGACCUUGGUUUCGAUGAAGUUUUAGAAGAAUCACAAGAAUCGAAAACCACGAGGUAUCGAAAACGCUAAUUUUAUGGAGGGUGCUAGAGUAAGAGAACGCUAUAUCAUGUCUUUAUAAUAUAUGUACAUAUAUCCAAAGGCGUUAUGUACUAUAAAUGCAAGUAGGUAAAUGCAAGUAGUAAAUGCAUCUUGCUGACAAUCCGGUAGCACUUCUAUAAUCGAUUGUUGGCAAUACACAGCCGAUUAUUCUGGAAACUACGAAUGUCGAUGUCUUGUAAAAUCGGGCAAUUUAUCGAGUUAUAUUGUCGAUUCUUGUUUAUUCUGGCAUACAUGUUCGCCACACUGUUAUUUCUUAUCUGGAGUGCCUCCUUCCAAAGUAAUCGGAAUUGUGUUGCGAUAUGACCUCACCGUUGGAAAGAGGACGUCUCCCCGAUUAAAAAAUAUGUAUGGUUAGAGGAACCGCAGACGCUUAGCUUUCGAGUUAUUCGACUUUAUCGACUGUAUGUGUUUAAAAUUAUGAGCAGGCAUGGACAUAGACUUAGCAUGUGCUAAAAAAGCGUAAGUGAUCGGAUACGUACAGACACCGAUUGUCACCAACACGCAUAAGCGAAGAGCGUAAAACGAGCACAUACGAUGGGGCAAUACGAUAAAAACAGCUGCGACAAAAUUUGUCUGCAAUCAGCAGUUGACUGAGCAGGUUUAUGCAGACGAAGUUAUACGAGUAUAUUUUACGUAUGAAUUUAAAACAAUUAUUUCAUCGUGAAAUUGCAUAAAAUGUCUUUUCUAAAUAAUUACAUAACCCAAAUUUACUAUAAUUUAUACUAAAUAUAAAAUAUUAUUAAUUUUAACAUACAUUAGCAUAUUGUGCAAUGGUGCGAUAAAGCUACUCUCUAUACCUAUGCAGGCAGACUGAAUAUUUUUGAUCGCUGAUUCGCUUGGUCCCACAGUAAGCGCACCAACAAAAUCUCAUUUUGUGAUACCCGAUUGAUUGUGAUGGUGCCCAAGGAGCUCUACGCGAAAAAACUUCGGGCACUCCCGGUUUUGGAUAUAUUAUUACAGUGAAGCCGAUAGCCGCCUGUGCAAAAAAAAGUUCUACGCGAUAAAGUUUGGACACUCCUGGUUUUGGCUCGACCAGGCUUACUUUCUCAAAGCGCGGCCGAAGUUUUUUAUAUAAAUAUUUGAUGCGGAAAAAAGUGCGACGACAAAGAAUAUACCGUUGAACUUCCAUAACUCGAACUGCUCUAACUCGAAGUUCUCCAUAAUUCGAACUAUUGAAUUGGCAAUAAAAGUCAAAAUUCAUACAAAUUACCUUUUGUAACUCGGAAGUCUCUCUAACUCGAAGUUUUUUUGUGGAUUAUGGUGAUUCGAGUUAGAGAAGUUCCACCGUAUAUGCAAAUAAAGAAAACGCAGUCUAAACAAGUGAGGAAGAGCUAAGUUCGGGUGUAACCAAACAUUUUAUACUCUCGCAAUUUAUUUAUUUAAUUUUAUUAAUAUAACACACAAUUUGACCCACAUAUUCGUCAUAUAUAUGGUAUAAAGUCCAUUGCAAGUUUGAAACCUUAAUAUUAUAUGGUGGAAGUUAGGUGAAGUUAUGACCCGUAUUUUAGGCACGGAGACAUAUCGAGCCUUUACCGCCAUUUUAGCGUAAGCGACAAAAACCAAACUUUACAGGAGAAGGUUUUUUUUAAAUACUUUUAACCAUUAAUGUGGUAGUAAUUUAAAUUUUUUUUUUUCAAUUAUAUAUGUAAAUGUCUGAAAAGCAUUAAUGUAUGAGAAAUUUUAAAUUACUACCACAUUAAUGGUUAAAAGUAUUUAAAAAAAACCUUCUCCUGUAAAGUUUGGUGUUUGUCGCUUACGCUAAAAUGGCGGUAAAGGCUCGAUAUUAUUAAAUGAAAGAUAUUCCCUAGGAAUUUCUUCAAAAUAUAUUAGAGACUUACCCAUAUUUCCGGUAAAAAAAAAUUAGAAGCCCUGAGAUCCUCAUAUUCGAUAUAUGGAGUCUUGUAAAUUUAUGGUCCGAUUUCGACGAUUUUUAAAAGGCGAUGCCACACUAUAAAUGUAGUAUUUGUGCAAAGUCCUGUUCCGAUAUCUUCACUGGUGCUUACUUUAUAUAUUGUAAAGUAAACGGUUCAGAUCGUCUUCAAAGUUCUGGUAUAUAGGAAGUAGGCGUGGUUGUGAACCGAUUUGGACUAUUUUCACAACAUAUAAUUGGGACGCAAGGGAAAUAUUACAAACCGAAUUUCAUUGAAAUAUGUUGAGUAGAUUCGGAAAUAUGGUUUUUGACCCAUAAGUAGGCGGAACCACGCCCAUUUCAAAUUGUGUAUACCAUUUUGAGUACAGCUCUUCUGUAUCUUCUUUAUAAUAAAAUUUAAAUUUCUGUUGGUUUUCCUUACUUAGUAGGGGGCGGGGCCACACCCACUUUCCCCACAAAAUUAAAUCCAAAUAUGACCCUUCCUAGAACAAUCGUUUGUACUAAAUUUUACUUUCAUAGCUUAAUUUUUGGCUUAGUUAUAGCUCUUUAUGUGUUUUCGGUUAUUGCCAUUUUGUGGACGUGGCAGUGGUCCGAUUCCGCCCAUCUUCGAACUUAAUUCUUUCUUCGUUCCUUAUGGUGCCAAGGAACACGUGUUCCAAGUUUCAUUAAGAUAUCUCAAUUUUUAUUCAAGUUACAGCUAGCGCGGUCGGACAGACAGACAUUAGGAUUUGAACUUCAGCUAAUAGUGUGCUAAAGUGUUGAACACAAAGACCACGACGUAGCGACGGCUGAUAUCAAAUGUCGCUUUGAAGCCAGCGUCUUGAACAUUUUGAAGACGGCAGCGACAUAUUAAACAGUAAGUUAAUUGUUGCCGUACUAAAAUCUUUCACUUCAAUAAAAUUUACAUAUUUAGUUUAAAGUGAAAUUAUUUGUGCAAAAAAUGUAAAAAUGGUCGAUUUAUUUGUUUUAAAUAAUCGACUGUUAUUAUACAUGAUAUAUCAAAGCUAUUUUACUUUUCUGAUGGCAAAAUAACGUCAUACUUAUUAUAAUUAUUAUUUAAUAAUUGUACAUUUCACAUAUUAGUGGCAACUCUACAGCUGCCCGUUUUCGUCGCCAAUAUUAGAAACAUUUUUAAUUCAGCGAUAACGACAUCUACAAGCCUGUUGUCGCGUAGUCGUCUGUUGUUAAAAAAUCUGUGUCCAUAAAAACGUGUGUAUUUUAAUAUUUGACAGAUGUCGCUCGUCGCUUGUCGUCUUCUUUGUGUUCAGCACAUAAGUAGUUUUUACAGCCGGUUUCUCGAAACAAAUUUAAGUGCAAAAUAAAUUAUUUCAGUUUCACCAUUUGACAGCCCUAUUCUGAAAAAAUCUCAUAACUGAAAAGCAUUUUACUGUUUUUAAUAAAUAUAAACAAAUUAAAGUUUUAAAUGGAUAACCAAGAAAUGUAAGUAAUUUUUCAAAUUCAAUAAUUUUAAUGUAAAUGUAAUGAUUUCAUUUACUUUUAGGCGUACAAAUGUUGAAAGAACAACUCUGGAGCAGCUGCAACAUUAUAUAACUUUUUGCAAGCAGCAUCCUGAGUUGCAACGGGGGAAGCUAACUCCGACCAACCUUCAAGAGCUGCAAAUGCUUUGGUUUGGUUUGGUGAUACUAUACUAACAGCCCUAUUAUGAAAAAACCUCAUAACUGAGGUGAGAGGAAAAUUUUGAGAAAAUUCUUGUGAGUUAUAUUCUGUGAAAAGCUAUUUUGUGAAAACCCUCAAGAGCUGCAAAUGCUUUGGUCGGUUUGGUGAUAUACUAUAGCUACUAAAGAUAUUGGGUGGUGAUUUUUGUGAUGGCAUGAGAAUAUGGCAGUUAAUUUUUAUUUUCUCGCAAUAUGUUGCACAGAGUAUUAUAGUUUUGUUCACAUAACGGUUGUUUGUGUCACCAAGAAAUAAAAUAGUUGGAUAUGGGGUUAUAUAUAUAUAAAUGAUCAGGAUGACGAGUGGAGUUGAAAUCCGGAUGUCUGUCCGUCCGUCCGUCCGUGCAAGCGAUACCUUGAGUAAAAAUUAAGAUAUCUUAAUGAAACUUGGAACACGUGUUCCUUGGGACCGUGAAAGGGUUGCUUUCGAAAAUUGCAAAAUCGGUCCAGUGCCACGCCCACAAAAUGGCGAAAACCAAAAACACAUAAAUUGUCAUAACUAAGCUAUAAAUAAAGUUAUAACGGUAAAGUUUGGAAUAAAGGAUCGCACUAGGAAGGGGCAUAUUUGGAUUUAUUUUUUUUUUUGGGUUAUUUGUAUAUAUCUCGCAAACCAAUGAAGCUAUACAAACCAAACUUUCUGCAGUCGAUUAUCUUACGUACCCCACCACACACCAUGAAAAUAGUUGAAAUCGAAUAAUAACCACGACCACCUCCAAUACAAAGGUUAGGUUGAAAAUUACUAAAAGUAAGUUAACUCAGUAACGAAAACCGUCAGAAACACUAAAUUUCAAAGAAAUAAUAGCUGAAGGAAGCUGCACUCAGAUUUUUUUGUAAAAUGGAAAAUGGGGUGGCGUCGCCCACUUAUGGGUCAAAAACCAUAUCUCAGGAACUACUCGACCGAUUUCAAUGAAACUUGGUUUGUAAUAGUUUCCUUACCUCACACUGAAUGUGAAAAUUGGCCAAAUCGCUUCACAACCAUUAUAUGUACAUAUCUCGCAAACCAAUGAAGCUAUACAAACCAAACUUUCUGCAGUCGAUUAUCUUACGUACCCCACCACACACCAUGAAAAUAGUUGAAAUCGAAUAAUAACCACGACCACAUCCAAUACAAAGGUUAGGUUGAAAAUUACUAAAAGUAAGUUAACUCAGUAACGAAAACCAUCAGAAACACUAAAUUUCAAAGAAAUAAUAGCUGAAGAAAGCUGCACUCAGAUUUUUUUGCAAAAUGGAAAAUGGGGUGGCGUCGCCCACUUAUGGGUCAAAAACCAUAUCUCAGGAACUACUCGACCGAUUUCAAUGAAACUUGGUUUGUAAUAGUUUCCUUACCUCACACUGAAUGUGAAUAUUGGCCAAAUCGCUUCACAACCACGCCUACUUCCUAUAUUCCAGAACUUUGAAGACGAUCUGAAUCGUUUACUUUACAAUAUAUAAAGUAAGCACUAGUGAGGAUAUCGGUAAAGAACUUUGCACAAAUAUUAUGUUUAUAGUGUGGCAGCCCCAUUCUAAAAAUCGCCAAAAUCGGACCAAAGGUUUUCAAGGCCCCAUAUAUCGAACAUGAGGACCUCGGUGCUUCUAACCUAAUAUUAGGGUUUCGAACUUUCAAUGGACAAUAUAUAUGACGAAUAUGUGGGUCAAAUUGUGUAUUAUACAAUAUUAAUUAAGUUAAAUAAAUAAAUUGCGAGAGUAUAAAAUGUUCGGUUACACCCGAACUUAGCCCUUCCUUACUUGUUAUUUAAAUGUUCACGCUUUGCCAUUUAAAUAUUAUUAAAAUACUGUCAUAUCCAACUAUGUUUACUUUUUUGUAUCAACUGAUUAUGAUCGUCAAAGUAAUCGGAAUAUUGCCUUCUGUAAUUUUUUUAACUUAAUGUAACGAAAAUGGCACCAGAACAAACUAGAAUUGACAAUCGAAAUCGAUAACUUGCCAGAUCUAUCUAGACAUCGAUAUUCGUAGUUGCCAGAAUGUUCGAGUGACGAUAACAUGUUAGCAAUCGACUAUAUAAGGGCUGCCGGGCUGGCAGCAACACACAGUUCUGAUAAGAGAGUUGUCGAGUGAGGACAAUUCUAAGGAGAGAGUUGUCGAGCAAAGUGUAAACAAGUUAUAAGUUAGAGUUGUAAAGUAGAGUAUUGAGUACUAAAGUGUUAAGUUAUAAGGAAUUAAAAAAUAAAGAUUAGUGUAUAGCCAUUAAAGUGUGACUUUUAUUUGACAAUCCAGUGAUCGAACCCAGGGUAGAGUUUUAGAGUAAACGACAGAUUUUGGAAAUCCGUUACAUUAAUUUUCUAUAAUUAUCGUUGCCGAACAGGAACUACUGACGCGAUUCCUUAUCAUCGUUGCUCUUAUCCUGAAAUCUAUAGCUCCAGUUAUCCAUGCUUGACUCAACUCAGCUUAGAAAAAUUAGCUAUACUUCACACAACUUCAACCUCAGCUGUUAUUAUUGUAACGAAAAUGGCACCAGAACAAACUAGAUUUGACAAUCGAAAUCGAUGUAUCUAGUCAUCGAUAUUCGUAAUUGCCAUAAUGUUCGAGUGGCGAUGUAUCGCUUACAAUCGACUAUAUAAGGGCUGCCGGACUGGGAGCAAGACACAUUUCUAGAUAUUUCAAACCUCAUAUGGCGCGUUAAAGGUACGCAAACUUAUUGGUGUCACUUAUUGUAGCAGCGUAGAACUUUCGAAGCGAUGGAAUAUGUGCUGCAAGCAAAUCCAAAACUAUGGACGCAAACGCUGCUACAUGGAACACAAAUCAUUCACACACCAGAUAUUACGUUAGAUGUCACUUUUUUGCGUGCAAUUAAACCUUUUGGUCAACACAAGCACGAGAAUUGGAACGACAUGGUUUAGGUGCUUUUGAAACCGUUUAUUAUCACGACGUGUGUCAACUGGGUUUUGCCAAUGAGCUAGAGGGCAAAGCAGUUUCAGUAUCUUUGAGCUUACCGGCACUUGGCCGUGCCAUUAGCAGCUAAAACACAGAAAUUAAAAGGAGGACUUUUUUGAUUCAUUUUCACCUUGUAUUGAGGAAUCAUAACGUUGUUGUAUCGCUUUACAAGGACAUAAAUUCACCGAAAUUAGUUCAAUGGAAAUACUACAGCAAGAGCAUGGAUGUUAAGACUUGAACGGUGCCGUGUUAGAUUUAGAAUUCCUGAAACAUAAGAAACCCUCCUCCCAGAAAAUGGACGAAUCUAGUACUAAUGAAAUUAAUGAAAGAACAGAUCUUCCAAAUCUCCUAAAGAAACCAAAAUAGUUCUCACAUAAUGUGCGCAGCUUACACUUCCAGGCCGCUCGGGGUAUUUGACAUUUGCCACUCUUCCUCCAGCCUUUGUCAGAUAGCAAAAAUUAUUCAAAUAUUCAAUACGUUAUACAUAUGUAUAUAGUGUAGUACGAUAAUACAUUUAUAAAGUAAAUAUAAUAAUAAACACCUAAAUGGCAUGAUAUUUUAAAUAAAUAUGAAAUAUAAUUAAUGAUUUUGUUAUUAAAUUCUCAUUUGGGAUUUUGGUAGAACUAACCGAAAAUAGCGGGUAUAGUUUCUGGGCUUUUGUGGGUCGCAGUACUGAAAGUGUGCGUGCAGUUUUGGUUCGCAGUUGUGGGUCUUUCAUCCGUGAUUGUACCAAUACCAUUCCCCAAAUUGUGCAAG